rnacentral:rRNA from 1 species
AGAGUUUGAUCAUGGCUCAGGGUAAACGCUGGCGGCGUGCCUAAAACAUGCAAGUCGCACGGCAUCUUCGGAUGCAGUGGCAGACGGCUGAGUAACGCGUGGGUGACAUACCCAUUGGUGGGGAAUAACUGCCCGAAAGGGUGGCUAAUACCGCAUACGGCUGGAGCUUCGUGGCUCUAGAGAAAGCAGUGAUGCGCCGAUGGAGUGGCCCGCGUCCGAUUAGCCAGUUGGUGGGGUAACGGCCUACCAAAGCGACGAUCGGUAGCUGGUCUCAGAGGAUGAUCAGCCAGACUGGGACUGAGACACGGCCCAGACUCCUACGGGAGGCAGCAGUUAGGAAUUUUGGGCAAUGGGCGCAAGCCUGACCCAGCAACGCCGCGUGGGUGACGAAGGCCUUCGGGUUGUAAAGCCCUUUUCUCAGGGAAGAUGAUGACGGUACCUGAGGAAGAAGCACCGGCUAACUACGUGCCAGCAGCCGCGGUAAUACGUAGGGUGCGAGCGUUGCCCGGAUUUAUUGGGCGUAAAGGGCGCGUAGGCGGCUCGACACGUCCGUUGUGAAAUCGCCCGGCUCAACUGGGCGGGGUCAGCGGAUACGGUCGAGCUUGAGCAAGCUAGGGGGCAAUGGAAUUCCCGGUGUAGUGGUGGAAUGCGUAGAUAUCGGGAGGAACACCAGUGGCGAAGGCGGUUGCCUGGGGCUUUGCUGACGCUGAGGCGCGAAAGCGUGGGGAGCGAUCCGGAUUAGAUACCCCUGUAGUCC